rnacentral:rRNA from 1 species
AAGUUUGGACAAUGGGGGAAACCCUGAUCCAGCCAUCCCGCGCGUAUGAUGAAGGCCUUCGGGUUGUAAAGUACGUUUGGCCGAGAAGAAAAGGUAUCUCCUAAUCCGAGACACUGUUGAUGGUCUCUGCCGAAAAAGCACCGGCCAACUACCUGCGAGCAGCCGCGGUAAUACGUAGGGUGCAAGCGUUAAUCGGAAUUACUGGGCGUAAAGCGUGUGUAGGCGGUUCGGAAAGAAAGAUGUGAAAGCCCAGGGCUCAACCUUGGAACUGCAUUUUUAACUGGCGAACUAGAGUAUGUCAGAGGGGGGUAGAAUUCCACGUGUAGCAGUGAAAUGCGUAGAUAUGUGGAGGAAUACCGAUGGCGAAGGCAGCCCCCUGGGAUAAUACUGACGCUCAGACACGAAAGCGUGGGGAGCAAACAGG